rnacentral:rRNA from 1 species
UACGUAGGUGGCAAGCGUUGUCCGGAUUUACUGGGCGUAAAGGGCGUGCAGGCGGUUUGUUAAGUGCAGGGUGAAAGCUCCCGGCUCAACUGGGGAGGGUCAUUCGAUACUGAUCGACUCGAAGGCAGGAGAGGGUAGUGGAAUUCCCGGUGUAGUGGUGAAAUGCGUAGAUAUCGGGAGGAACACCAGUGGCGAAGGCGACUACCUGGCCUGUUCUUGACGCUGAGGCGCGAAAGCUAGGGGAGCAAACGGG